GUAGGGAAUCUUCCACAAUGGGCGCAAGCCUGAUGGAGCAACACCGCGUGAGUGAAGAAGGGUUUCGGCUCGUAAAGCUCUGUUGUUAAAGAAGAACACGUAUGAGAGUAACUGUUCAUACGUUGACGGUAUUUAACCAGAAAGUCACGGCUAACUACGUGCCAGCAGCCGCGGUAAUACGUAGGUGGCAAGCGUUAUCCGGAUUUAUUGGGCGUAAAGAGAGUGCAGGCGGUUUUCUAAGUCUGAUGUGAAAGCCUUCGGCUUAACCGGAGAAGUGCAUCGGAAACUGGAUAACUUGAGUGCAGAAGAGGGUAGUGGAACUCCAUGUGUAGCGGUGGAAUGCGUAGAUAUAUGGAAGAACACCAGUGGCGAAGGCGGCUACCUGGUCUGCAACUGACGCUGAGACUCGAAAGCAUGGGUAGCGAACAGGAUUAGAUACCCCGGUAGUCC
rnacentral:rRNA from 1 species